rnacentral:rRNA from 1 species
GUCUAUGGCCAUACUAGUCUGAAAGAGCCUGAUCUCGUCAGAUCUCAGAAGUCAUGCAGACUUGGCCUGCUUAGUACUUGUAUGGGAGACCAGCUAGGAACCUCAGGUGUAGUAAGCU